AGAGUUUGAUCAUGGCUCAGGACGAACGCUGACGGUGUGCUUUAGACAUGCAAGUCGAACGAGAAAGCCCUUCGGGGUGAGUACAGUGGCGAACGGGUGAGUAACACGUGGGCAAUCUGCCCCUCGCAGGGGGAUAACCGGGGGAAACCCCGGCUAAUACCCCGUACGCUUGUGGAGUCGCAUGGCUCCGCAAGGAAAGGUAGCUUCGGCCAUCCGGCGAGGGAUGAGCCCGCGGUACAUUAGCUAGUUGGUGGGGUAACGGCCUACCAAGGCGACGAUGUAUAGCUGGUCUGAGAGGAUGAUCAGCCACACUGGGACUGAGACACGGCCCAGACUCCUACGGGAGGCAGCAGUCGGGAAUCUUGCGCAAUGGGCGAAAGCCUGACGCAGCAACACCGUGUGAGCGACGAAGGCCUUCGGGUCGUAAAGCUCUGUUGUUGGGGACGAAGGGUUAGGGGUUAAUAGCCCCGAGCCUGACGGUACCCUUCGAGGAAGCCCCGGCUAACUACGUGCCAGCAGCCGCGGUAAUACGUAGGGGGCGAGCGUUGUCCGGAAUUAUUGGGCGUAAAGAGCGUGUAGGCGGUUCGGUAAGUCUGCCGUGAAAACCCAGGGCUCAACCCUGGGCGUGCGGUGGAUACUGCCGGGCUGGAGGGUGGUAGAGGCGAGUGGAAUUCCCGGUGUAGCGGUGAAAUGCGCAGAUAUCGGGAGGAACACCAGUAGCGAAGGCGGCUCGCUGGGCCAUUCCUGACGCUGAGACGCGAAAGCUAGGGGAGCGAACAGGAUUAGAUACCCCCGUAGUCC
rnacentral:rRNA from 1 species